rnacentral:rRNA from 1 species
UCUGGUGCCAGCAGCCGCGGUAAUUCCAGCUCCAAUAGCGUAUAUUAAAGUUGUUGCAGUUAAAAAGCUCGUAGUUAAUCUUCUGUUAAUUUUUAUAUAUAAUAUCACGAUAUUUAUAUAAUAUUAACAUAAUUCAUAUUACUUUUUAGUAUAUGAAACUUUACUUUGAGAAAAUUAGAGUGCUUAAAGCAGGCUAUUGCCUUGAAUACUCCAGCAUGGAAUAAUAUUAAGGAUUUUUAUUCUUCUUAUUGGUUCUAGAAUAAAAAUGAUGAUUAAUAGGGACAGUUGGGGGCAUUUGUAUUUAACAGUCAGAGGUGAAAUUCUUAGAUUUGUUAAAGACAAACUACUGCGAAAGCAUUUGCCAAGGAUGUUUUCAUUAAUCAAGAACGAAAGUUAGGGGAUCGAAGACGAUCAGAUACCGUCGUAGUCUUAACCAUAAACUAUGCCAACUAGAGAUUGGAGGUUGUUCCUUACUC